rnacentral:lncRNA from 1 species
UUAUUUUCAGUAUCCAAGAUAAAGACAUCAUCAUGGUUCAAUGAUGAACGAGCAAAGGGAACCUGAGUAAAGAAGUCAUCAUUAGGAUAUUGACUUAAAUAGUUCAUGAAACAUAUACUGUAGGAAGCAAGGAGGUGGAACACCAAUUAAUGCACCUCUUUAACUCUGAUAGCUCUCUUCCCUUUGCAAAUAUAUAGCCGUACUUCAAACUUGUCCACCUCUGGCUUUUUAAACCCAGAAGCAAAACCACCCUCCAUGGGUAUGAUGCAGGGUUUAAAAUAGGAAAGGAAUUUAUCAGACUCGUAGCACUGUGGUUCCCUGUGCUGUACCGCACGACCCCCAAGCAUGCUGUCAAGUUCAACCGUCUUAAUCGCGGCAGUUCCAGCUUCAUCCUGCGUAAAAACAACAGCAAUUUCGAGAAGUGGGCAUAUGAAAUGUCAUUUGUAGCAUAGAGAAAUCUAAGGUGGUGGUACAGAAAUUAAAAUCUACCUGGCUAGAAUCUUUCCCGAUCCAGAAAUGGAUGUCAAAGAUAUAAGCACCUCCUUUACAGGUGGUCUAAAAAAAGGGGGCAGAUGCAUUACUAAAAAUACAAUUUCUGUAGGGAAAUAGAAUGGUGCCUCUGGAAAAAGGAAGGGUUAAAAGCAUUUACCUGCAGAACUAUAUACGAAUCUCCACAGUAGAAUUUGCCAUAAUCUGAUUUUGGCAAAGCGACUGGCUUGAAAUCCUCGAUCCUCCAUAUUUCUGUUCCUCUGUGUUUAAGUUAAGGGGCGCAUACCCAACAUAAAGAGAAUACAGAAGCAUUGCGUUGAAUGAAAAAUAGCUAAAACACGCCCAGUAAGGAUACGGUUUAUGGCCAGCUCCUUGAAAUGCGGGCUCGAGCACCACUUUUGCAUUCGACAUUGUGCAGGGAUGGAUAUAUGUUACUUGGACACUACAGAGAGGCUCCCACCACCCGAUGGACAACAGUCAAUAGAACACUAGAAACUCAUGUGCUGCAUGCAAGAGUGCACCUAGAAGAAAAUGUAAACCAUUAGAGACAAGAGAAACCACCAGAAGUUUCAGAUAUAAACAGAAUGCAUACAAAGUAAUGUUUGCAAAGAAUAGAUUUGCUCUCAGUUUUACGUUAUCACGGAAACCAAAACGCAUGCCUGGCUGGUCUUUUUUUCCCUAUAUUUUUAUCACACAUCACAUCCAAAUUCAUCCCCGAUCGAGCACUCACGGAUGGAGCGCUAACGAUGGAUCGAUCGAUCCAACAAGCGAACACCGACCGCAGACAGACAGCUUAACUGAAGGCCGAUCUGAUCGCAUCGCAGUCACGUACGCAUCCACGGCAAGGGCAGAUCAAUUCAACCCGCGGGAUCGUUAGAUCCUGCUCCCUUCAUCUUUAAUUAUAAGUCAUUUUAAAAAAUUUGGAGACUCAAAAUAUUUUAAGUUUAACUAAAAUUAUAAAAAAAAUUAUAAAAUUUAUAAGAUUAAGUAAAUAUACUAUGAAAAAUAUAGUUAGAAUAUUUAAUUUGUAUCAUGUUAUCAUAUAAAUUUGGUUUACUCUUUGAGAUUUUUAGAAUAACUGGGAUCGAAACAAGCCUUGUUUAGUUCCCAAAAAAUUUUGCAAAAUUUUUCAGAUUCCCCAUCACAUCGAAUCUUUAAACUCAUGCAUGGAGUAUUAAAUAUAAACAAAAAUAAAAACUAAUUAGACAGUUUGAUCGAAAUUGACGAGACGAAUUUUUUGAGUCUAAUUAAUUCAUAAAUACAAACGAAAGUGCUACAGUGUCGAUUUUGCAAAAAUUUUUGGAACUAAACAAGGCCCAAAGGGAGGGAGGAAAGGGAAAAAGGAAAUGCAGAACCGUGGGAUCAUAUGAGGAGGCCGUCGAUCGAGCGGGUACCUGCUAGACGUGUAACGCCGGUCGCCGAUCGAUCGAUGGAAGCGGAGCGGAGCGGGGGGUGUAGCCUCGAGCCAGAGAGGGGAGGAAGGUGGCAGGCGAGCGGCGACGGGAAGGGGACGAGACGACCGAUCGAUCCCAGUGUGUCUCCGAGGCGACGUAGGAAUGGGGCGGAUUCGAUGGGGGUGGUGGAAGUGGAAUGGAUGGAUGUUACUACUACGCGACGCCGCGGCUUUUGCGGUUGCCUGAUUUUAGAAAUGGACCCCCUAUUUAUACGGGCGCGCGCGCGGCGAUCUGCCUGCGCCCUAUACGUGCGGUGCGGCAGCGACGGGGGAGGGACGGAUGGUCGGUGGCUGCUAGGAAAAGGUGCGAUCGAGCUCGGAGUACGAGAGGGGACAACGGAGAACGGACGUCGUUGCUACUGGCUGCCUGCGGCGUUCGUCACCACGAGUGUCCGGCCAGGGCCGCGCUACUGCUACUGCUAGUGGUAGUGGCAUUAGCAUUGCUCGCCCGGCCAGCAGAGGUACGGUACGGCCGCCGGUGACUGACAAGAUUCGGUCUCGUAGCGAGCGCCGUAUGGUAGGUACGGUGGUGAGCUAGGCCGGCCAUCAGCAUCAGGGUCCAGCUGCGGUCCGCAUGAUGCGGCCGAUAAUUGCGAGCUUUCGGUCGAGAUGCAUGGGAAGCUGCAGUGAUCGUGGAUGUGAUGCACACAGCGCACACGCACUCAUCAUUUCGACAGCUACGGUAACAACGUACGGGUUCACGCACGGGGGGCGCCACCUGACCUGACGCUUCCCCACCACCGCCCAUCAGCCCAUCCAACUAGACUGUGAACAUGGGCUGUCCUACCCGGCCAGGCCCAAUCAGUGUACCAGGUAGGCUUGGGCUCUAAAUCAUAAACAAAUAGAAAAAAGAUUUGAUGUGACAGGAAAUUUUGAAAAGUUUUUUAUUUUUGGGGUGAACUAAGGUCUUAUUUAGAUGCGAAAAUAUUUUCGAUUUCGCUACUAUAGCACUUUCGUUUGUUUGUGGCAAAUAUUGUCUAAUCAUGGACUAACUAGGAUCAAAAGAUUCAUCUCGCGAUUUACAGUUAAACUGUGUAAUUAGUUUUUAUUUUUGUCUAUAUUUAAUGCUUCAUGCAUGUAUCGAAAGAUUAGGUGUGACAGAGAAUUUUAAAAACUUUUUAGUUUUUGAGGUGAACUAAAUAAGGCCUAAACAAGACCUAAUUUUGUAUAAUAAAAUGUAAAAUGAACCUCUUUAUUGUGUUCCUCUCCUCGGAAUAGUAAAAGAAUAGACAUAUAUGGAGUGUUUCAUUUGAAGUCCAGACGAAGGAGUUACGCUUUUCAAAAAAAGUUGCAACCGAAGUUGUGAUCCUUAUCGGACGUUACGAGAGUCUGAAGUUUCGACACACGUUAGAACUUUCGACGAACGUCAAGAAACCUGGGGAAAAAAACCCUGCUCAGGUGUCUAGGGUCGGAAAAACCUAAUAAAAAACUUUGUUUGGAAAUGAUCUUUUAGUGCUGCAUAUUUGAUUUUUCCCAAACUAAAUUAGGACUCGACAAAGGAAAACUAUCUAAUGCACAGAGCUAGCACGAUCGUUUCAGCAUUUCAACUGCUCCAAGCCUCCAACUCAUAAACACACUUCCAAGUACGAAACAGACUGAGGAAAUUCCAAAAUCGGUUGUUAAUUAACUCCUUGGCCGGCCUCAUCCAAAUGGAAGAAGGUUUAAAGUCCUGAUGCCCCCGAUAAUCUCAUCAACUGCGUUCGGCAGGCGGUCCAAAUCGCCGCCGCUCCGCUCCAUCAUCCACGCGCGAAUUAUCUAUCCCUUCCCGAUUAAUUAAUCUCCGUGCCGCGAUCGUCACGGAUUCCUUCUUCCUCGUUCCAAUUCCAACUGAGCCGGUCAGCAGCUGCAGCUGCAGAGUGAGAGUGAUCGGCUACUUGUACGCGUGCGCGAGCAUCACCGUGCAGGUAGCAACCGGGGUGGACUGAGCGCGGUCCCCAACACGGCAACACGGGCCACAAUUCAGCCAUGAGGCUCUCGCCGCCGCGGCGCCUCCUCCCCCUGGCCCCCUUCCUCCUGCUGCUGCUCACGCUCCUCUCGCCGCCUCGAGCGGCGGCAGCAGCGGGCGGCGGCCCAUCCGCGUGGGUGGCGCUCCGCGGGGCGGCGGGCAGCCGGAAGGCGUCUCCGGCGGAGCAGGAAGCGGCGGCCGCGGGGCUGCUCCGCCGGCUGCUCCCUUCCCACGCGGGCAGCUUCAGCUUCCAGAUCGACUCCAAGGUUUGAGCAUCCUAGUGCGGCUACUUCCUGAGUUCCUGGUUCCUCCCAGUCCCCGGUCCCCCGCUUGUUUCGGGGCAGCAUUGGUUGACUUCCCUGUGCCCGUUUUUCUGUGCUCGCUCCAGGGCGCCGUCUGCGGUCAAUCAAGCUGCUUCAGGAUAAGCAACGUCGUUGACGGCUCGGGCAAAGGUGGAGCGGAGAUUCUGUAUGUUCCUCUUUUUCCCUCGUAUACUUGCCAUGAUGCAUGAUGCCGUCAACUUUGGCCGCGUAGAUGAUCCAUCUGAGGUCUGAGGCUGUGCUUUGUGGCUUGCCUCACCACUGUAUGGUGGGUGCCCAGCUGGCAUCGAUUCAUGAGGUUUUGAUUUGCAUAAUAGACAAACAUGGUGAUGAAGUCGCUCAUUCCUGUUCUAAAUUUUGCUCUUUGUAUGAUCGCUCCUCAUUAAGUUGGCGCAUUAGUUUGCUUAUAUAAAAUCCAAAAAAUAGUCCAGCGGCUUGGGUUCCUUAAUUGAGCAUUGAGAAUGCAUGUAAUGCAAGAACUGCAAAAAUUGUACAUUUGUUAUGACUACAUCGUGAAGGUGAAUGCAAUCACCUCUUCAUGUUUAUGCUAUACAGGAUCCAGGGAACCACAGGUGUUGAGCUUGCGUCUGGCCUACAUUGGUAUUUGAAAUACUGGUGUGGUGCACAUAUCUCCUGGGACAGGACUGGGGGUGCCCAGCUGGCAUCGAUCCCUUCUCCUGGAUCUCUGCCACGGGUGCAGGGCAAGGGAGUCAAGAUUGAGCGUCCUGUUCUGUGGAAUUACUAUCAGAAUGUCGUCACUUCUAGCUGUGAGUCCUUUCUUGCCUCUAGUGCUUCUAUUGCAAAUGAAGAACUGAUGUUUCAGCAUUUGUUCUCCUACACCCUAAUCCUACAGAUUUCAUCUUAUCAUUUUUGUCUCUGUUGACCGGACCCUUCCAUACUUCUAACAUUUAUCCAACUGGAUUUAUUUAUAAUUUCUAAUUUCAAAAGAAGUGACUCUGAAGCUUCCCACUAUUUAAGUGGAUUCCAACAUUUUUUUCUCUGACAAAAUUCAUGUAGCGUUCUAUAGACUCCUAUGUGUGGUGGGACUGGAAAAGAUGGGAGAAAGAAAUUGACUGGAUGGCACUUCAAGGAAUUAACUUGCCUUUAGCAUUUACUGGACAGGAAUCUAUCUGGCAGAAGGUUUUUAAGGUAGUGUGACAGACACAUCUACUGCAUAUUCCUGUUCUUUGUUUUUUCUUGUCCCUACGUCUUUUUGAUCUGCCUUGUUUAGUUUCCAAAAAAAUUUGCAAAAUUUUUCAGAUUCCCCGUCACAUCGAAUCUUGCGGCACAUGCAUGGAGCAUUAAAUAUAGAUUAAAAAAAUAACUAAUUGCACAGUUUGUCUAUAAUUUGCGAGACAAAUCUUUUGAGCUUAGUUAGUCUAUGAUUGGACAAUAUUUGUCAAAUACAAACGAAAAUGCUGCAGUGUCUAUUUUGCUACAUGUUUUGAGUUUCUUUUCAACCUCCUGUUGCUAUGGGGGCCUUGUUAAUUAUUGCAUUUUAUUUCAGAGUUUUAAUGUUACCGACAGAGAUUUAGAUGAUUUUUUCGGUGGACCAGCUUUCCUGGCUUGGGCUAGAAUGGGGAACUUGCAUGGGUAAGUAAACAGUUCUUCUACGUGUUCAGGAAAAAAAACUAUAAAAUAAAUGAGGCUACAUUCUCUGAUAUAGGUGUUUGUUUAUUAGUUCAGAUAGCAUGAUGAAUAGCUUAUUCUUAAAAAAUAAGGAGCCAUAUUCUUGUUUAGAAGUGUCGAAGAUGUAUCUUUAGUAGGUGUUCACGGUUUGGGAUUUUGGUUCAGUGGAACUCUGCAUUUUGCUGCAUUGAAUACAGAUUAUUAAAAGUUUCUCUUCCUGCUUGUUUCUCUCUGCAUAUCAUUGUUCCCAUUUCAUGUGACCAAAGAUUCAUUCUAACUUAAUUAUAGCAUUGACCACAACAUUGCAGUUGUUCUAUACUUAACUAGUUAACUUUGUAUGAUAUUAAGACUUUUCGGAGAUGAUCAUUUGUACAUAUCUGACAUAUAAAAAGUAACGCAUAUAUAAUUCUUCAAUUUCUUUAGCUGGGGUGGACCACUGUCACAAAACUGGUUGGAUCAACAAUUGGCAUUGCAGAAGAAAGUACUAUCCCGGAUGAUUGAGCUUGGGAUGGUCCCUGGUACGUUUGUGUUUUAUUGUCCAAAAUUACUAUUCUUCAACCUUUAAGAUAUGCCAUUGCAUUUAUACCACCUUUCCAUCCUUUUUUGGCAAUGUAUUUCUUAUAUGAAGUCAAAAGAUCAAUGGACUUUUUACUAGCAAUAUUCUAUUACUACAGUGGGUUAAAUGCUGUUUCAAGUUAUACUUAUGACGCACUACUACUUUACAGUUCUUCCAUCGUUCUCAGGAAAUGUUCCAGCUGUUUUCGCAAAAUUAUUUCCAUCAGCCAACAUUACCCUGCUUGGUGAUUGGUAACAUACUUUCUUAUAUCGUUUGUACCAAUAUUUUCUGAAAAUUUAUGCUGGCUUAGGCAGUAGUUAUGGUGACCAAGAAGUCACCAAGUCCAAAUUUACUGGUGAUCAUAUUCAUAAUGCCUCUUGACAAGUAACUUCUGUAAAUUACUUGGACUGUAGGACAUCUGGAAGAGUGUAAUGGACAAGAAGGAUUCAGACUCACUUAGUUACAAACAUUUUAUAGUUGGGUUAACACUAUAUAGGGCUACUGGCACGGUUGCCAGCCAACAACUUAUUUGUAAGGGACAAUAUAUGCAUACAUGAUCUUAUAGCUUUACACGAUAUGUUUUUAUAUCCUCAGUUUUCAAGAAAAAGAAACUGCAGUUUUGACUCAACUUCUUCGCACUAGACUGUAGAACUAGAAGUCUUAAGUCAAAAUUUGCUACAGGACACGUAACCUGAUGCCGAGCUGCCUGCGGACACAAAAAAGUGCUACAUGCUGACAGUCACUCUGUCAAUGCGAGAAUUUGCUAGAAGACACCGUGUCCAUUAAAAUAAUCAUUUCCAACCUAGAGGAGACGGUGUCUUCCAGCAAAUUAUCACAUUGCCAGAGUGACUGACAGCAUUUAUCACUUUUUUUUAUGUCUGCAGGCUGCUUGACAUCAGUCUAUGUGUCCUGUAGCAAAUUUUUGCCAAGUCUUAAACGUAUCAAGUCUGUGUACUGCCAGUGCUUAUGUGCCUUAUUUCAACAUGAAAGUAUCAGUUGAUUAGCAUUUCAUGUUUUCAGUUAUAAAACUUCUUACUGAAAAUAUCUUAUGUUGUUUUGAUUUUCUACGUGAUAUUUUAUACUUCAGGAAUACAGUUGAUGCUAAUCCUAAGUGGUGCUGCACUUAUCUUCUUGAUCCUUCUGAUUCAUUGUUUAUAGAUGUGGGGCAGGCUUUUAUCAGGCAACAGAUAAAAGGUAUAUACCUGCCAUUUUUGUGUGCAAGAUAUGAUCAUAGGAAACUUGAAUUUGUUCUGAAGUUUCUGGAUCAAAUAAAUCAAUUAAUAAGAAUGCACUUUUGAUUUAUGUUUUUGUAUAAGGUUUCGUAUUCUUUCUUUUUUGAACUUUUCUGGAUGUUUGCAGAGUACGGCGAUGUAACCAACAUCUAUAACUGGUAAGGCCUACUAAUCUGCUUCUUUGAAAUGUUGCCUGAAUGCAUUCUGUGAUUGCUCUGUGUAUCCUUUGCAUGUUGGGUCACAACGCUUAGCUGUCAUAUGCAAGGAUCACAAUUGAUUGGUUCUGUUUCUAUAAGCCAUACCCUAGUUCAUCCUUGCCUAUAUAUGUGUAACCUUUCACCCUCCAUAAUCAAUCAAUCAAUUCCGUACCAUAUUCUUGCUUACAGAUACAUAUCGUCCUGUUUAAGGUAUUGAUAGUGGAUAGUUCAAAAUUCUUGAUUUAUUGGUCAUGCAUUAUGUCAUUCUGAUCAUGUCAUUGGCUAGUGGUUUAGCAUGCUUUUGAGCAUCCUGUGUAUAUUCUUGUGCUCGCUUGCUGUUUCUAGUUUCUACAUCAUGUACACAUUGCACAUUUUACAGUUUUGGUUGUUACUUUCAGUGACACGUUCAAUGAGAAUACCCCACCAACAGAUGAACCAGCAUAUAUUUCAUCACUUGGUUCUGCUAUCUAUGAAGCAAUGUCCCGAGGUAACAAGAAUGCAGUGUGGUUAAUGCAGGUGUGCUCACUCUUCUUUUACCUUUUAAAUGUAAAAACAUUCUGCAUUUAUCAUUUUCUGUUGUGAUAGCAACCAUAUAUCCUCUAGACGAUAGUAACUUGUCCAGUUAACAAGAUGGAGUGCAGAGUACAAUGUAAAGAAAUACACCAUACAAUCUAUUAUUUAUAGUGGUUCAUUCCAUGUUCUUUUUUUUAAAAAAAAAAGAAAGUUAUGUAUUAAAUCUUACUCUUUGGAUAGAGAAAAAUCUUGUGUUUUCUUUAUCAGACAUCAUUAGAUGAACACAUAAUUGGAAAUCUUUGAACUUUACUUUGUGCUUAUUGAUGCAGGGUUGGUUAUUCUACUCAGAUGCUGCAUUCUGGAAGGAGCCACAAAUGAAAGUAAGCUCAAGUCUUGUCUUCAAUGAGUUUCACUUUGAACAGCCAAAUAAAUGUGAUAACUCAUAGAAUGAAGGUUAAUGCAUAUGUUCUUUGUCCUUUUAACACCUAUUUACAAAUGGGUUAACCUGCCCAAUUUUCAGGCACUUCUUCACUCUGUUCCAAUUGGUAAGAUGAUAGUUCUCGAUUUAUUUGCUGAUGUCAAGCCCAUUUGGAAAAUGUCCUCUCAGUUCUACGGUGUACCUUACAUCUGGUAUGUCAUCUUUUAACAACCCCUCCCUCCCAUCUUGUAACUCCAAACCAUUAUUUUGUAUUCACAUUGUCAAUUUAAAAUAUGAAUAUAAUUCCUGAUUUUCAACCAUAUUUACUGAUUGAUUUACUCAAUCUAGGUGCAUGUUACACAACUUUGGUGGGAACAUUGAAAUGUAUGGCGUACUUGAUUCAAUUUCAUCUGGCCCCAUUGAUGCCCGUACAAGUUACAAUUCAACAAUGGUAAGUGCAAAUUUUGUCCUAUGGAGCAAACAUUUCAUUUUCAUGUGUGAGUUGAAAAUCUGUCAUCUGCUGUUUCAAUGUUGAAGUGAAUCAAUCCCUCCUUUCUUGCUGGAGUUCUGUGCUCCAGUGGUGGAGCUUUUUUUUUUUUGAAAACCACAGGAGAGCUGCGUUUCAUUGCAUUAUAGAGAAGAAAAAUAGGGUGGGUCCCCAACAAGAUCCUCACUCAUACGGGGACCAAAUAUGAGUGAGGCAAUUACACACACACCUUUACUGGGCUCAUAGAAAUCAGCUGAAGCUAGACCCUAACUAAGCAGCCCUAGUCACCCAACGCCAAACCAAGCUCAAGGAGCUUCUUUGCCCCAGCCAUGCACCAGAGACUAUGCUCAUUCUUUAGCUCACUCCAAAGCAUGCUCAGCGAAGGAGAAACCCCCUCAAAGACACAUGUGUUUCUAUGUUUCCAAAUAAUCCAGGCCCCUAAAAUAAUUAGAGAAUUCACUCCUCUCCUGUGUUCCUUGCUCACUCUGCUGAUCGUCUUGCGCCACCAUUCAGCAAAACUCCGCUCGUUUUGCCGGGGAGUUGAAUCAGCUAAGUUUAAUGGGGUGAGUAAUUUGCACCAUACUUGUCUUGCCAUCACACAAGAUGUUAGCAAAUGUUGUAUUGUCUCCUCUUCCUGAUCGCAUAGGGGGCAUUUAUCCGGAUGUGAAAGACCCCUCUUAGCAAGCCUAUCGGCUGUCCAACAUCUAUUACGGAUCGCCAGCCACAAGAACAUUUUGCAUUUGCUUGGAGCCCAAGACUUCCAUAGGCGGUGCCACGGCUCAAAAGUCGCUGCACCAUAGAAAAAAGCUUUAUAUGCAGAUUUGGAAGAGUAGCAGCCACUUGUAUCUAGCCUCCAUAUGUGGCGAUCCUCUUGGUCAGUCAGAGUGAUACUCAUGAGACAAUCACAAAGCUGUAGGAAUUCUCUCAUACCGAUCCAGGAUAGGCCGCCAUGAAUGUCUCGUGCCCAUUGCACGUUAGAGAGAGCUUCAGCCACAGUACGUCUUUUGCGAAUUCUUGGCGAGACACAAGCAAAAACAGUUGGUGCAAGAUUUUCAAUCGAGCACCCAUGCAGCCACCGAUCGGUCCAAAAGAGAGUAUUUUGUCCAUUCCCUAUCUCUGUCGUGACUGCAAUAGAGGACAAAGCUAUAGAAUUAGGAUGUGUUGGGAGUUCGAGAUCAGACCAUGGACGGUCAGCUUUAGUCUUUUUCAGCCACUGCCAUCUGACUUGCAAAGCCCAGGCCAUCACUUCUAAGUUAGGGAUGCCCAAUCCCCCAAGAUCCAACGGUCGCAUGACCUUCUCCCAAGCCACCAGACAGCAGCCUCCAUUUGCUUUUUCCUUUCCUUGCCACAGAAAUCCCCUUCUGAUCUUGUCCACUGCCUUGAUGAACCAUGACGGGAUGUUGAUAGCAAUUAGCAAAUGAAUAGGCAUGGCAGAGAGGACAAAUCGGACUAAUGUUGCACGUCUAGCCCUAUUCAUAAGGGCUGCCUUCCAGCAUGGAAGUUUGUCCGCAAUUUUUUCUAUCCAUGGCAUGAGAUCCCUCUUGCGAAGCUUCCUGUUUGAUAGUGGUAGGCCCAAAUACUUGCAAGGGAAUUCUGAAAUUGUACCCGGAAGAAUAUCUUGAAUUACUCCCAAAGACCCUUCUGUACAACUGAUGGGAAUGAUAUUGCUUUUCUGAAUAUUAGUUCGCAAUCCUGAAGCAUCUCCAAACACCUUGAGGAUAUCUCUGGUGAUCUGCAGCUCCCCUUCAAGUGGCUUAAUAAAUAAGGCAACAUCAUCAGCAUAUAGGGAAAGCCUUUGUCCUGUCACCCGUGGGGAUAAAGGUUGCAACAGCCCCUCAUUCGCUGCCUUCACAAACAGACUGUUAAGCACAUCCAUCACUAAAAUAAAGAGCAUCGGGGAUAAAGGGUCCCCUUGACGAAGGCCUCGUUGAUGUUGUAUGGGUUCUCCAGGUUCCCCGUUCAAUAAAAUUCGAGUUGAGGAUGAUGCCAGCAGAUUGGCCACCAAAUUGCGCCAAAUGCAUCCAAAGCCCAAGUGUUGUAGCACUUCUAAAACAGUGGUGGAGCUAAAGCCAGGCUAAAGGGGGCCAUGAGCCCAUGACCCCUCUUGAUUCUUUAAAUUUCUUAAGAAAACACCUUAUCCUAGGUAACAACAGAGCAUGGUUUACAUAGCUUGGCCUCCUGUACAUCUACCAUCAUGCUCCAUCGCUGCUGUGCUUGUUGUUCUUCUUGAUUGAUCGUUCCAUCUUUCAUGAUAUGCAUGUGUUUCAGAACUGAUAUAUUUUCAGUGCUGUAUCUAAUCUGACUAUUUAUGCAAUGUUUGACUCUUGCUCUUCUCUAGAUUGGUGUUGGCAUGUGCAUGGAGGGAAUAGAGCACAAUCCAGUUGUUUAUGAACUUAUGUCUGAAAUGGCAUUUCAUAAUAAGAAGGUUGAAGUUGAGGUAAAUAGUACAAAUGUAAACUUAGCCUUCGAAUUAUGAUUUACUGCUAUUCUUAUUUCUUCAUCUUGGAACUAUUACAGCUGUAUAGACUCUAUAGAGUAUGAGGUGCCAUUGUAGACAUAGUUUGCACUUUAUACAUAAUUAUAGGGUACAUUCUGUUUAUGCACCACUACAUAAAUUUUAUCAAUCUAGUCAAAAGAUAACUGCUUCUGAAAGUUCUUUCCCUUCAUGUGAUUUCAGUGAGAUCAGGAUUAAUGGAAGUUUUCUGUCUUGAGUUAAAUGUUGAACUGUGUGUCAAAGAAGGAUUGCCAAAAAUACCGUACUUUGUAAUUUGUGUAGUUUCUUGGUACAUAUGCUUUGUACGACCUUGUUUACAUGAGGUGAAUGAAGUACAAACUGUGCUACAGAUAGUAUUUGUCUCUUUCCUUCCGCAGCAGAUUUGCUAUGGCUAUUGUUUUAUAAUCGUCUAACAUCUUGACUGCAGGUUUUGCUUUGAUAGUCGAUUACCAUCUAACAUUUGUCCAUAACCUUCCAGGACUGGUUAAAAACAUACUCCUAUAGGAGAUAUGGUCGAGCGAAUGCUGAAAUAGAGAAAGCUUGGAGAUAUUUGUAUCAUACAAUAUACAAUUGCACCGAUGGAAUUGCGGUGUGAUUUCAAACGAGCUCCUCUGUUGCAACUAUCCAGAGCCUGUCCCGAGUAACAUAUCCUUAUAUUUUCGUUGCAGGAUCAUAAUAAAGACUACAUAGUUGAAUUUCCAGACAUAAGUCCCAGCUCAAUUAGUUCUCAGCUUUCUAAACGAAGGGGUAUGUCAAUUAUGAGAAACCAUAGGAGGUUUUUCUUAAGUGAGGUGUCUGGAAGCCUACCACAUCCGCACCUAUGGUAUUCUACGAAGGAGGCCAUCAAAGCCCUUGAACUAUUUCUUGAUGCAGGAAGCACAUUUUCAAAAAGUCUCACAUAUAGGUACAAUAUGCAACUUUCUUUUAAGUCUUGAGAUUGUCUGUUCUUAUUUUCAGCUAUUGCCAACUCUAUUCCUGUAGUUUACAGUUGUCAAUUGAUUUAAGUGCCAAAUCAGGGUACCAAAUGAACACUUUUUUCCUUUGUUUUCUGGUUUAAUGAGUAAAACUAAUUAUGCUGCUUGGGCAUGUUAUUGCUUUAACUGAUCCUUACUGCUGGGUGAUAACUUUUACCUCAGGUAUGACCUUGUCGACCUAACUAGGCAGUGCCUAUCCAAACUAGCAAAUGAAGUGUACCUUGAUGCGAUGAGUUCGUACCAAAAGAAAGAUUCAAAUGGCCUGAAUUCUCACACGAGGAAAUUUCUUGAGAUCAUCAUGGAUAUUGAUACACUACUAGCUGCUGAUGAUAACUUUCUGCUGGGCCCCUGGCUGGAAAGUGCAAAAAGCCUUGCUAUAACUGAAAAGGAACGCCAGCAGGUAUGUUACACAUGCAUUCUUCAUCUAAUAUCUGGAUCCUAUAUCAAUCCUGUUAUUGAGGACUGAAUUGAACCUUUUUACCAGUAUGAGUGGAACGCCAGAACACAGGUGACGAUGUGGUAUGACAACACAGAGACCGAGCAGAGUAAAUUGCAUGACUACGGUAAUGCCUAGUACAAUAGUUUGUUAGUUGAUAGCUACUAGCUGUAUGGUUCAGCUUUGUGUUACUAAUGUUCUUCUCCGUAAACACCAAAUUACCAGCCAAUAAGUUUUGGAGCGGGCUACUGAAGAGCUAUUACCUUCCAAGGGCGUCAAAAUACUUCGCCUACUUAACAAGGAGCCUGCAAGAGAACCAGAGCUUCCAGCUGGAGGAGUGGAGGAAGGAUUGGAUCUCAUAUUCCAACGAGUGGCAGUCCGGGAAGGAGGUGUAUGCCGUGAAGGCCACGGGUGAUGCUUUGGCCAUCGCCAGGUCACUGUACAGAAAAUACUUGAGUUCUUGAGCUAGUCGUCGCUGCCAGAGUGCCAGAGCCUUGGAAUAAUUGUUGCCGUGGGGUAAUUGUGCACGGAUGUUACAAAUGAUUGAUUGUGUAAUUGUGUUCUUCAGUAAGUUGCCUGUUAAAACAGAUGCCACGAAAGGCAGAUGCAUAUGUUAGCAAGUUGUAGGGUUGAUAUGUGAAAUAUUUGUCUUCCAUGAUCACGUGAUGUAGAGCGAAACCCUCAGCAUUGAUUUCUUGAGCUGUUGCUGCUGCGGUGCUGCCUCGGAGCUGAAGGCCAAGUAAAACAGUGUGCCUUUUGCAUUGCAGUUGGCAAAUUUUGAGACUUGCACUGCAGACUGCAGACUGCAGGCGUACUCCGCAGAGAGGUUUAGGAUGCAGAAACCGCUGAAAUAUGAACAUCGCUCACAAGGUUCUGGGACUCGGCUUUACUUUCUUUGAAACGUAUAGUUUUUUUUAAGGUCCCGUUUGGUCCUCUUGCUAAAUUUAGCCAACUAAAAUUAUUUUAGUUACUCUUGGAUGACUAAUAGAUCUAAAAUAUUUAAGCUCUUUUUUAGUCAGUGUUUUUAGAAUUUUAGCUGGUAAAGUGAUUAAAAUUUAGUUGGCUAAAAUUUAGCAAAGGGAACUAAAUAGACGCUUAAUGUAACUCAACUUUACUAGGGAAAAAAAGAUCAAAACUACUGUGAACUUUCUGCAAAUCAAGUAGCAAGAAUCACCAUGACUCAACAAUAAUACACAUCGCAGAUUCACGUACAGUUAAAGAUGAAUGAAGAAGCAACCUAAGAAGCAAAAAGUCUUGCUCUAUGAAUGGUAAAAACGAGCAGGAGAUCUGCCUCUUUUAAAUUGAGAACAUUAUUGAGCAAAAUAACAGCUGUCAACAGGAAUAUUUUGCUCAAAUUUGCUUCAAAUGCAGCAUACAAAUAAGAAAAAGAGAAACUUCCCUGAUGUAUUAAUGGAAGAAACGAGCGAGAAAUAUGCCCCUUCUAAUGUUGAGCAAAAAAAACAGCUGUAGGUAGGAUCAUUUUACUCAAAUUUCCUUCAAAUGCAGCACAGCAAAAAAAAACUUGUUGCAAAAAAAAAAAAGAGCCUGUCAGACAACCCAUGGGCCACCCCAGCUAGGCAGGACCCAACCAGGAACGAUCCUCUACAGCACCAGACCCAGCAUCAAGCUUAAUCCUGGCCGUUAAUCACGCUCUGGCCCACAGGUCAUGACUCAUCAACCAGGCUUAAGUGCUUGCCUCCUUAUUAGUCAAGGAUGCAGCGGUACGAUCCUAUAGAACAGAUCCUGUUCAAGUAAGGUCGUGCUGCAAGGCUCCAGAGCUGAGGUUUUAAGCUGGCUCUCACUCGCCUGAGCAAGCGAGGUGGUGCUAAUCGGUGGGACUGGGCGACUGGCCAGCAAUCCCACUCCCACCCAGCAUGUUGCGUACUGGGCCGCUCCAUUCUGGUAUAUGCUCCCCUAUGUGUGGGCUUCAGGUCGAGCCGGCCCAUCGAGGCUGCAUUAGCUUUACCUCUGUUGAUGAUGCUGAUUCCUCACCUAAGCUCAGCUGAUUCCUAGUAGGUGAUUAUAGUUGGCCCUCCACAGAGCUAAGCAUAAAAAUGUUACUACUAACCAUCACAAAUCGGUGUAAACACAACAGUAUGAAGUACGUCAUAAUGAGCUAAGCAGCAAUGGGCGAUGUUGUGCGAGUGCGUCGUCGUCUCUCAUCUAAAAUCGAUUGCCUUGUACUACACCGUCGACUGGCCUGGAGAGAUCGGCGUCCAGCAGGAGCAUAGCCAAGGCUGGCUCCAUUUCUGACGACCAUCGGCACCAUGGGCUCGGCAAGCUCCGAGCAGGAGCUGCCUAGCUAUUAGCAUCUCGACAACCGCGCGCGGGCGUGCCGGGCUUCUCGUCAGGCUUUUCUUGGACGCAGAGGAGGCCGACCACAAUUGAGUUCUUAAAGGCCUUGUUUAGUUGGUGAAAAUCUUUUAUUGUAAUAAUUUUAUUUGUAUUUGAUAAUUAUUAUCUAAUUAUAGACUAACUAUGUUUAAAAGAUUCGUCUUAUAAAUUACACAAACGGUAGAAUUAGUUAUUUUUUAUCUAUAUUUAAUGCUCUAUAUAUGUGUCCAA